rnacentral:rRNA from 1 species
CAAUAGCGUAUAUUAAAGUUGUUGCGGUUAAAAAGCUCGUAGUUGGAUUUCUGCCGAGGACGACCGGUCCGCCCUCCGGGUGAGUAUCUGGUUUGGCCUGGGCAUCUUCUUGGAGAACGUAGCUGCACUUGACUGUGUGGUGCGGUGUCCAGGACUUUUACUUUGAGGAAAUUAGAGUGUUUCAAGCAGGCACACGCCUUGAAUACAUUAGCAUGGAAUAAUAAGAUAGGACCUCGGUUCUAUUUUGUUGGUUUCUAGAGCUGAGGUAAUGAUUGAUAGGGACGGUUGGGGGCAUCCGUAUUCUCAAGCGAGAGGUGAAAUUCUUGGACCUUGGGAAGACGAACAGCUGCGAAAGCGUUUGCCUAGGACGUUCUCUUUAA